CCUACGGGUGGCUGCAGUGGGGAAUAUUGGACAAUGGGCGAAAGCCUGAUCCAGCCAUGCCGCGUGUGUGAAGAAGGCCUUCGGGUUGUAAAGCACUUUCAGUGGGGAAGAAAGCCUUGGGGCUAAUACCCUCGAGGAAGGACAUCACCCACAGAAGAAGCACCGGCUAACUCCGUGCCAGCAGCCGCGGUAAUACGGAGGGUGCGAGCGUUAAUCGGAAUUACUGGGCGUAAAGCGCGCGUAGGCGGUCUGAUAAGCCGGUUGUGAAAGCCCCGGGCUCAACCUGGGAACGGCAUCCGGAACUGUCAGGCUAGAGUGCAGGAGAGGAAGGUAGAAUUCCCGGUGUAGCGGUGAAAUGCGUAGAGAUCGGGAGGAAUACCAGUGGCGAAGGCGGCCUUCUGGACUGACACUGACGAUGAGGUGCGAAAGCGUGGGUAGCAAACAGGAUUAGAUACCCGGGUAGUC
rnacentral:rRNA from 1 species